rnacentral:piRNA from 1 species
UAGAAAGUUACCUGGGUUUUGUCAUGGUA